CUACGUGCCAGCAGCCGCGGUAAUACGGAAGGUCCGGGCGUUAUCCGGAUUUAUUGGGUUUAAAGGGAGCGUAGGCCGGAGAUUAAGUGUGUUGUGAAAUGUAGACGCUCAACGUCUGACUUGCAGCGCAUACUGGUUUCCUUGAGUACGCACAACGUUGGCGGAAUUCGUCGUGUAGCGGUGAAAUGCUUAGAUAUGACGAAGAACUCCGAUUGCGAAGGCAGCUUACGGGAGCACAACUGACGCUGAAGCUCGAAGGUGCGGGUAUCGAACAGGAUUAGAUACCCUGGUAGUCCGCACAGUAAACGAUGGAUGCCCGCUGUUGGUACCURGUAUCAGCGGCUAAGCGAAAGCAUUAAGCAUCCCACCUGGGGAGUACGCCGGCAACGGUGAAACUCAAAGGAAUUGACGGGGGCCCGCACAAGCGGAGGAACAUGUGGUUUAAUUCGAUGAUACGCGAGGAACCUUACCCGGGCUUGAAUUGCAGAGGAAGGAUUUAGAGAUA
rnacentral:rRNA from 1 species